AGCGUACACGGUGGAUGCCCUGGCAGUCAGAGGCGAUGAAGGACGUGCUAAUCUGCGAAAAGCGCCGGCGAGGUGAUAUGAACCCUUGACCCGGCGAUGUCCGAAUGGGGAAACCCAGUGCAAUCCGUUGCACUAUCGUUAACUGAAUACAUAGGUUAACGAGGCGAACCGGGGGAACUGAAACAUCUAAGUACCCCGAGGAAAAGAAAUCAACCGAGAUUCCCCCAGUAGCGGCGAGCGAACGGGGAGCAGCCCGGAGUCUGAAUCAGCUUGUGUGUUAGUGGAACGGUCUGGAAAGUCCGACGGUACAGGGUGAUAGUCCCGUACACGAAAGCACACUUGCUGUGAACUCGAAGAGUAGGGCGGGACACGUGGUAUCCUGUCUGAAUAUGGGGGGACCAUCCUCCAAGGCUAAAUACUCCUGACUGACCGAUAGUGAACCAGUACCGUGAGGGAAAGGCGAAAAGAACCCCGGCGAGGGGAGUGAAAAAGAACCUGAAACCGUGUACGUACAAGCAGUGGGAGCCUACUUGUUAGGUGACUGCGUACCUUUUGUAUAAUGGGUCAGCGACUUAUAUUCUGUAGCAAGGUUAACCGUAUAGGGGAGCCGAAGGGAAACCGAGUCUUAACUGGGCGUUAAGUUGCAGGGUAUAGACCCGAAACCCGGUGAUCUAGCCAUGGGCAGGUUGAAGGUUGGGUAACACUAACUGGAGGACCGAACCGACUAAUGUUGAAAAAUUAGCGGAUGACCUGUGGCUGGGGGUGAAAGGCCAAUCAAACCGGGAGAUAGCUGGUUCUCCCCGAAAGCUAUUUAGGUAGCGCCUCGUGAACUCAUCUUCGGGGGUAGAGCACUGUUUCGGCUAGGGGGCCAUCCCGGCUUACCAACCCGAUGCAAACUACGAAUACCGAAGAAUGUUAUCACGGGAGACACACGGCGGGUGCUAACGUCCGUCGUGAAGAGGGAAACAACCCAGACCGCCAGCUAAGGUCCCAAAGUCAUGGUUAAGUGGGAAACGAUGUGGGAAGGCACAGACAGCCAGGAUGUUGGCUUAGAAGCAGCCAUCAUUUAAAGAAAGCGUAAUAGCUCACUGGUCGAGUCGGCCUGCGCGGAAGAUGUAACGGGGCUAAACCAUGCACCGAAGCUGCGGCAGCGACGCUUAUGUGUUGUUGGGUAGGGGAGCGUUCUGUAAGCCGUUGAAGGUGGCCUGUGAGGGUUGCUGGAGGUAUCAGAAGUGCGAAUGCUGACAUAAGUAACGAUAAAGCGGGUGAAAAGCCCGCUCGCCGGAAGACCAAGGGUUCCUGUCCAACGUUAAUCGGGGCAGGGUGAGUCGACCCCUAAGGCGAGGCCGAAAGGCGUAGUCGAUGGGAAACAGGUUAAUAUUCCUGUACUUGGUGUUACUGCGAAGGGGGGACGGAGAAGGCUAUGUCAGCCGGGCGACGGUUGUCCCGGUUUAAGCAUGUAGGCGGAGGUUCCAGGUAAAUCCGGUACCUUUUAACGCUGAGGUGUGAUGACGAGGCACUACGGUGCUGAAGUGAUAAAUGCCCUGCUUCCAGGAAAAGCCUCUAAGCAUCAGGUAACACGAAAUCGUACCCCAAACCGACACAGGUGGUCAGGUAGAGAAUACCAAGGCGCUUGAGAGAACUCGGGUGAAGGAACUAGGCAAAAUGGUGCCGUAACUUCGGGAGAAGGCACGCUGAUGUGUAGGUGAAGCCCCUGCGGGCGGAGCUGAAAUCAGUCGAAGAUACCAGCUGGCUGCAACUGUUUAUUAAAAACACAGCACUGUGCAAACACGAAAGUGGACGUAUACGGUGUGACGCCUGCCCGGUGCCGGAAGGUUAAUUGAUGGGGUUAGCUGUAAGGCGAAGCUCUUGAUCGAAGCCCCGGUAAACGGCGGCCGUAACUAUAACGGUCCUAAGGUAGCGAAAUUCCUUGUCGGGUAAGUUCCGACCUGCACGAAUGGCGUAAUGAUGGCCAGGCUGUCUCCACCCGAGACUCAGUGAAAUUGAACUCGCUGUGAAGAUGCAGUGUACCCGCGGCAAGACGGAAAGACCCCGUGAACCUUUACUAUAGCUUGACACUGAACACUGGUCCUUGAUGUGUAGGAUAGGUGGGAGGCUUUGAAGCGUGGACGCCAGUCUGCGUGGAGCCAACCUUGAAAUACCACCCUUUAAUGGCUGGUGUUCUAACGUAGACCCGUAAUCCGGGUUGCGGACAGUGUCUGGUGGGUAGUUUGACUGGGGCGGUCUCCUCCCAAAGAGUAACGGAGGAGCACGAAGGUUGGCUAAUCCUGGUCGGACAUCAGGAGGUUAGUGCAAUGGCAUAAGCCAGCUUGACUGCGAGCGUGACGGCGCGAGCAGGUGCGAAAGCAGGUCAUAGUGAUCCGGUGGUUCUGAAUGGAAGGGCCAUCGCUCAACGGAUAAAAGGUACUCCGGGGAUAACAGGCUGAUACCGCCCAAGAGUUCAUAUCGACGGCGGUGUUUGGCACCUCGAUGUCGGCUCAUCACAUCCUGGGGCUGAAGUAGGUCCCAAGGGUAUGGCUGUUCGCCAUUUAAAGUGGUACGCGAGCUGGGUUUAGAACGUCGUGAGACAGUUCGGUCCCUAUCUGCCGUGGGCGCUGGAGAAUUGAGGGGGGCUGCUCCUAGUACGAGAGGACCGGAGUGGACGCAUCACUGGUGUUCGGGUUGUCAUGCCAAUGGCACUGCCCGGUAGCUAAAUGCGGAAGAGAUAAGUGCUGAAAGCAUCUAAGCACGAAACUUGCCCCGAGAUGAGUUCU
rnacentral:rRNA from 1 species